rnacentral:rRNA from 1 species
UUGAGUUUGAUCCUGGCUCAGAGCGAACGCUGGCGGCAGGCUUAACACAUGCAAGUCGAGCGGGCGUAGCAAUACGUCAGCGGCAGACGGGUGAGUAACGCGUGGGAACGUACCUUUUGGUUCGGAACAACACAGGGAAACUUGUGCUAAUACCGGAUAAGCCCUUACGGGGAAAGAUUUAUCGCCGAAAGAUCGGCCCGCGUCUGAUUAGCUAGUUGGUGAGGUAACGGCUCACCAAGGCGACGAUCAGUAGCUGGUCUGAGAGGAUGAUCAGCCACAUUGGGACUGAGACACGGCCCAAACUCCUACGGGAGGCAGCAGUGGGGAAUAUUGGACAAUGGGGGCAACCCUGAUCCAGCCAUGCCGCGUGAGUGAUGAAGGCCCUAGGGUUGUAAAGCUCUUUUGUGCGGGAAGAUAAUGACGGUACCGCAAGAAUAAGCCCCGGCUAACUUCGUGCCAGCAGCCGCGGUAAUACGAAGGGGGCUAGCGUUGCUCGGAAUCACUGGGCGUAAAGGGUGCGUAGGCGGAUCUUUAAGUCAGAGGUGAAAGCCUGGAGCUCAACUCCAGAACUGCCUUUGAUACUGGGGAUCUUGAGUUCGGGAGAGGUGAGUGGAACUGCGAGUGUAGAGGUGAAAUUCGUAGAUAUUCGCAAGAACACCAGUGGCGAAGGCGGCUCACUGGCCCGAUACUGACGCUGAGGCACGAAAGCGUGGGGAGCAAACAGGAUUAGAUACCCUGGUAGUCCACGCCGUAA